GCGAGUGUCUUCAGGGAUGCUUAGUGGCCAUUUUGUUCCAAGACGCAGUUGAAGUAGGUUGUUGGCUGUCACGCUCCUCACGAUGAAAAUUAAAAGGUGAUUUUGGACGUUGAAACUAAUUUGCCAAUUCAACUCAGACUUGGAAGUACCUGUACAUUUCCGAAAUGGCGUGCCUCGUGUGUCAUGCUGCCUCUUCUUAGGCGUACGUCUCAUCUCAUGCAACAGAAAAAAGUAUAACAAACACUUCUUUAACGCUGGUGGUUACCUUGUUGCAGCCAAAUGGUGAAAGGUGUGACGAAGACAGAUUGAGCCUUAGUAUGCAGCAUGCAGUUGCAGUGUAAUCCAGAAGUUGCUGUGCUGUUGUAGCUGAGCUGUUGCAUCUAGGUUCCUGAUUUUAAAAUGUUUGUGUUUUCAUCCAUGCCAUAUGAAAUUGCUCUGCCAGUGAUAUUUCGUGA